AUACGGAGGGUCCAAGCGUUAUCCGGAAUCAUUGGGUUUAAAGGGUCCGCAGGCGGUCAAUUAAGUCAGAGGUGAAAGCCCAUCGCUCAACGAUGGAACUGCCUUUGAUACUGGUUGACUUGAGUUAUACGGAAGUAGAUAGAAUAAGUAGUGUAGCGGUAAAAUGCAUAGAUAUUACUCAGAAUACCGAUUGCGAAGGCAGUCUACUACGUAUAUACUGACGCUGAGGGACGAAAGCGUGGGGAGCGAACAGGAUUAGAAACCCUAGUAGUCC
rnacentral:rRNA from 1 species